UACGUAGGUGGCAAGCGUUGUCCGGAAUUAUUGGGCGUAAAACGCGCGCAGGCGGGUCCUUAAGUCUGUUGUGAAAGGCCAAAGAUCAACUGUGGAGGGCCAUUGGAAACCGGGGCACUUGAGGACAGAAGAGGAGAGCGGAAUUCCACGUGUAGCGGUGAAAUGCGUAGAUAUGUGGAGGAACACCAGUGGCGAAGGCGGCUCUCUGGUCUGUAACUGACGCUGAGGCGCGAAAGCAUGGGUAGCGAACAGG
rnacentral:misc_RNA from 1 species